rnacentral:rRNA from 1 species
UACGUAGGGGGCAAGCGUUGUCCGGAAUCAUUGGGCGUAAAGAGCGUGUAGGCGGCUCGGUAAGUCCGCUGUGAAAGUCCAGGGCUCAACCCUGGAAUGCCGGUGGAAACUGUCGAGCUCGAGUCCGGAAGAGGCGAGUGGAAUUCCUGGUGUAGCGGUGAAAUGCGCAGAUAUCAGGAAGAACACCAGUGGCGAAGGCGGCUAUCUGGACGGUUUCUGACGCUAAGACGCGAAAGCGUGGGGAGCAAACAGG